rnacentral:rRNA from 1 species
CCUACGGGAGGCAGCAGUGAGGAAUAUUGGUCAAUGGGGGCAAGCCUGAUCCAGCAACGCCGCGUGAGUGAAGAAGGCUUUCGGUACGUAAAGCUCUAUCAGCAGGGAAGAAAAGGACGGUACCUGACUAAGAUGCCCCGGCUAACUACGUGCCAGCAGCCGCGGUAAUACGUAGGGGGCAAGCGUUAUCCGGAUUUACUGGGUGUAAAGGGAGCGUAGACGGCAGGGCAAGUCUGAAGUGAAAUGCCGGGGCCCAACACCGGAACUGCUCUGGAAACUGUGAAGCUGGAGUGCAGGAGAGGUAAGCGGAAUUCCUGGUGUAGCGGUGAAAUGCGUAGAUAUCAGGAGGAACACCGGCGGCGAAGGCGGAUUACUGGACUGCAACUGACGUUGAGGCUCGAAGGCGUGGGGAGCAAACAGGAUUAGAUACCCCAGUAGUC